rnacentral:rRNA from 1 species
AGAGUUUGAUCAUGGCUCAGGACGAACGCUGGCGGCGUGCUUAACACAUGCAAGUGGCGCGACGAACCGGGCUUCGGCCCGGGGCAAAGCCGCGAACGGGUGAGUAACACGUGGGUAACCUGCCCCGAAGACCGGGACAACCCGGGGAAACCCGGGCUAAUACCGGAUGUGCUCACCACUCUCAAGGGUGGUGAACAAAGGAAACUUCGGCCUCCGCUUCGGGAGGGGCCCGCGGCCCAUUAGCUUGUUGGUGAGGUAACGGCUCACCAAGGCGACGAUGGGUAGCUGGUCUGAGAGGACGAUCAGCCACACUGGGACUGAGACACGGCCCAGACUCCUACGGGAGGCAGCAGUGGGGAAUCUUGCGCAAUGGGCGACAGCCUGACGCAGCAACGCCGCGUGGGGGAAGACGGCCUUCGGGUUGUAAACCCCUUUCAGGAGGGACGAAGCUUCGGCAGCGAAUAGCUGUCCGGAGUGACGGUACCUCACUAAGAAGCCCCGGCUAACUACGUGCCAGCAGCCGCGGUAAUACGUAGGGGGCCAGCGUUGUCCGGAAUCAUUGGGCGUAAAGCGCGCGUAGGCGGCCAGACAAGUCCGGUGUGAAAGUCACAGGCUCAACCUGUGAAUGCCGCUGGAAACUGUCUGGCUAGAGUCCGGAAGGGGCGAGUGGAAUUCCUGGUGUAGCGGUGAAAUGCGCAGAUAUCAGGAGGAACACCUAUGGCGAAGGCAGCUCGCUGGGACGGUACUGACGCUGAGGCGCGAAAGCGUGGGGAGCGAACAGGAUUAGAUACCCUGGUAGUCCACGCCGUAAACGAUGGGCACUAGGUGUGGGAGGUGUCGACUCCUCCUGUGCCGAAGCUAACGCAUUAAGUGCCCGCCUGGGGAGUACGGCGCAAGGCUAAACUCAAAGGAGUG